rnacentral:rRNA from 1 species
GAUGAACGCUGGCGGCGUGCCUAAUACAUGCAAGUCGAGCGAACAGAUGCUGCUCUUGCUCCUCUCACGUUAGCGGCGCACGGGUGAGUAACACGUGUAUAACCUACCUAUCUUUCUGGGAUAACUUCGGGAAACCGGCUCUAAUACCGGAUAAUCUAUUGCACCGUAUUGUUCAAUAGUGAAAUACGGUUUUUCUGUCACUUAUAGAUGGUUCCGCGCCGCAUUAGCUAGUUGGGAAGGUAACGGCUUUUCAAGGCAAGCAUGCGUAGCCGACCUGAGAGAGGGGUAGGCCACACUGGAAGUGGAACGCGGUCAAGGCGCCUAAGAGAGGCAGCAGAAGGGAAUGGGACGCAGUAGGGGGAAGCAUGACGGAACGGGGGGGAGUGAGAGAUAGAGGUGUUCGGAGCGUAAAAAUGUGUUAUUAGGGAAAAACAGAUUUGGAAGGAGACGUACAGGGAGUGACGGUACCUGGUCAAGAAGCAACGGCUAACUACGUG